GGUCGGUUGGUCUAGUGGUAUGAUUCUCGCUUAGGGUGCGAGAGGUCCCGAGUUCAAUCCCCGGAUCGACCC